CGGAAUCCUCAUUUUAAAGACCUGUAGCAAGGAAAUGUUGAAGGAACCUUGGGGAUAAUACCUUGAAUUCAAUCCCCUGAUUUUACAGCUUUUAAGUGGAAGUACAUUUCCCACAAGGAAGAGGAAGUUUUAGGUGGCAAAACACAGUUUCACAAAGAGCCUUCAUGUCAAGAAUUCGAUUGUGAAAUAGCUUGCUUGCCACAAUUGUUGUUGUUGUUAUUUGUUUUUUCUUAAGACAAUGACUAUUUCUUUAAUAAUAGAUAAAUAAAACAAACAUGUACUGGC